UGAUGCUCUUUCCCCACCCUUGGAGGA
rnacentral:piRNA from 1 species